GAUGAACGCUGGCGGCGUGCCUAAUACAUGCAAGUCGAGCGAACAGACGAGGAGCUUGCUCCUCUGACGUUAGCGGCGGACGGGUGAGUAACACGUGGAUAACCUACCUAUAAGACUGGGAUAACUUCGGGAAACCGGAGCUAAUACCGGAUAAUAUAUUGAACCGCAUGGUUCAAUAGUGAAAGACGGUUUUGCUGUCGCUUAUAGAUGGAUCCGCGCCGCAUUAGCUAGUUGGUAAGGUAACGGCUUACCAAGGCGACGAUGCGUAGCCGACCUGAGAGGGUGAUCGGCCACACUGGAACUGAGACACGGUCCAGACUCCUACGGGAGGCAGCAGUAGGGAAUCUUCCGCAAAGGGCGAAAGCCUGACGGAGCAACGCCGCGUGAGUGAUGAAGGUCUUCGGAUCGUAAAACUCUGUUAUUAGGGAAGAACAAAUGUGUAAGUAACUAUGCACGUCUUGACGGUACCUAAUCAGAAAGCCACGGCUAACUACGUG
rnacentral:rRNA from 1 species